rnacentral:rRNA from 1 species
UACGGAGGGUGCAAGCGUUAUCCGGAUUUACUGGGUUUAAAGGGUGCGCAGGCGGAUAUGUAAGUCAGUGGUGAAAUCUCUAGGCUUAACCUGGAAAUUGCCGUUGAUACUAUAUAUCUUGAAUGCUGUGGAGGUAAGCGGAAUAUGUCAUGUAGCGGUGAAAUGCUUAGAUAUGACAUAGAACACCUAUUGCGAAGGCAGCUUACUACGCAGAUAUUGACGCUCAUGCACGAAAGCGUGGGGAUCAAACAGGAAUUAG